CUUCUCCAUCUUUUUUUUUCUUCCACCACUCAGGCCCACUAUUCCCUUUUGUCCUGCUCUUUUGUCGCUUGCUUUUUCGAAGCUACAUGCUGCUCCUUUUCUUCUUUCUCUUCCAUCACAGAGGUCCAUUGCUUGCCUCCCUACCACCACAUGUCGACCUUCGAUGAGAAAGGACAGUGCUCUAUCACGAAGGAGAGAGGAGAAAGAGGGGGAG
rnacentral:lncRNA from 1 species